rnacentral:misc_RNA from 1 species
UUCUAGAACCAUACUCCCUUUCAAACACCGAUACAAAUUCCAUCGCCUCUCUCGCCGCGGGAGACACCGAAACUAAUCGGGCGGAAGACUCCCCAUUCCGAACCGCACCUGGUCCCAGCCCGAUCAUUCCAAGCGAACAAGACAAAAUACCACCAGCAGCCCAUAAACCAAGGCCAACAGCACCAGAAAUUAACCCUAGACUGCCUGAAAUCACAGAAAAUGGUAAAGUAAUAAGUUUCCAGGCUAAACCGGGGGCAGCAGCGGCCACAACUCCGGCACCAGAAUCGGGGCGGUCAAAGAGAUCACGAGAGACAGAACUCGACGAUUCCAUGUCGGAACUUCCGACGUCGGCCGCUGCAGCUGUAGUAGUGGAGGCGACGUUAUUGUCAG